AACGAACGCUGGCGGCAGGCCUAACACAUGCAAGUCGAACGCCUGUAGCAAUACAGGAGUGGCGCACGGGUGAGUAACGCGUGGGUAUCUGCCCUUCGGUGCGGAAUAACUGCGGGAAACUGCAGCUAAUACCGCAUACGCCCUCCGGGGGAAAGCUCCGGCGCCGAAGGAUGAGCCCGCGUCCGAUUAGCUAGUUGGCGGGGUAAUGGCCCACCAAGGCGACGAUCGGUAGCUGGUCUGAGAGGGUGAACGGCCACAAGGGGACUGAGACACGGCCCUUACUCCUACGGGAGGCAGCAGUGGGGAAUAUUGGACAAUGGGCCACGAGCCUGAUCCAGCAAUUCUGUGUGCACGAUGAAGGUCUUCGGAUUGUAAAGUGCUUUCAGUUGGGAAGAAGAAGGUGACGGUACCAACAGAAGAAGCGACGGCUAAAUAUGUG
rnacentral:rRNA from 1 species